CCCGACCGUAGCUGCUACCUUGAUGUGGUGGUCGGGCUUGACUUUCGUGAUGGCACAACCUAGCUAUAUUGGCUGGAACACACGUUCCUUUAUGCCUUACUAUGCCAGGCAGGUUGGUCGGAGAACGGUAAGGCUAAAAGCAGC
rnacentral:ribozyme from 1 species